rnacentral:tRNA from 1 species
UGGGCUGUAGCUUUGUGGCAGAGUGCUUGCCUGGCAUGUGUGAGGCCUGGGUUCAAUCCUCAGCACCACAU